rnacentral:rRNA from 1 species
UUAUGAAUAAGGAUCGGCUAACUCCGUGCCAGCAGCCGCGGUAAUACGGAGGAUCCGAGCGUUAUCCGGAUUUAUUGGGUUUAAAGGGUGCGUAGGCGGCCUUUUAAGUCAGCGGUGAAAGUCUGUGGCUCAACCAUAGAAUUGCCGUUGAAACUGGGGGGCUUGAGUAUGUUUGAGGCAGGCGGAAUGCGUGGUGUAGCGGUGAAAUGCAUAGAUAUCACGCAGAACCCCGAUUGCGAAGGCAGCCUGCCAAGCCAUGACUGACGCUGAUGCACGAAAGCGUGGGGAUCAAACAGGAUUAGAUACCCUGGUAGUCCACGCAGUAAACGAUGAUCACUAGCUGUUUGCGAUACACUGUAAGCGGCACAGCGAAAGCGUUAAGUGAUCCACCUGGGGAGUACGCCGGCAACGGUGAAACUCAAAGGAAUUGACGGGGGCCCGCACAAGCGGAGGAACAUGUGGUUUAAUUCGAUGAUACGCGAGGAACCUUACCCGGGUUUGAACGCAUUCGGACCGAGGUGGAAACACCUUUUCUAGCAAUAGCCGUUUGCGAGGUGCUGCAUGGUUGUCGUCAGCUCGUGCCGUGAGGUGUCGGCUUAAGUGCCAUAACGAGCGCAACCCUUGCCACUAGUUACUAACAGGUGAUGCUGAGGACUCUGGUGGGACUGCCAGCGUAAGCUGCGAGGAAGGCGGGGAUGACGUCAAAUCAGCACGGCCCUUACAUCCGGGGCGACACACGUGUUACAAUGGCGUGGACAAAGGGAGGCCACCUGGCGACAGGGAGCGAAUCCCCAAACCACGUCUCAGUUCGGAUCGGAGUCUGCAACCCGACUCCGUGAAGCUGGAUUCGCUAGUAAUCGCGCAUCAGCCAUGGCGCGGUGAAUACGUUCCCGGGCCUUGUACACACCGCCCGUCAAGCCAUGGGAGCCGGGGGUACCUGAAGUCCGUAACCGCGAGGAUCGGCCUAGGGUAAAACUGGUGACUGGGGCUAAGUCGUAACAAGGUAGCCGUACCGGAAGGUGCGGCUGGAACACCUCCUUUCU